rnacentral:lncRNA from 1 species
CCUCAAUUCAACCUUAUUUUGAGAUGCCAAGUCGUGUGUAAAUUCGAGUUUUGGAUAAAUUGGUUUCAUACCGUCUCAAUAUUCAGUUUGUAAUGGACCGACGCUAAAGUGACAACUAUAUGAGGACACUUGUGUUCAGACGAAUGUUCAGACGUUGGCAUCGAAAGUAAAAGUCCUACAAGGGUUAAUAAUGAACUCCCCCUUUCUCGUGUGUCGUUGCGGUUUUCUUGCGUUGGUGGGAGUCCCCCUUGCGAGGGUCCCUGUUGCAGUGCGGAUCCAGUAGUUGGAGUUCUAACUAAAAAGAGAGGAGCGCAAGGAGUGAGCGCAGCUGAGUGAGCAAACAGAAGUAGAAACAUUAGGUGAAUUUUGACACUAACGAACGUCGUUUUUGAAAGACUGUCACUUUUACUGCCCUGGAUCCAUCUUUCCAGCCUUGUAGAAUAACGCCCUUGUUUCCCGCCUGAAAACUCACACGGUCGUGUCAGCUGGCAUGAGCUAACCCACCAGACAUGGAAACCAAACCUUUCUUGUCAUUGGGGUUCCUGAAGCCCCAGUGCUCGCUGGCUCCGCCUCCCCAGCGUGGACGCUCGGGGGAGGCCUGCUCCUGUUUCACCGGCAUGUGUCACCUCCACCAGCGCCGGAUAUCUACAGGUAACACUCAACGCCAUCUCCACAUCCCAUCGCCAUCUGCCCCGUCAUGGCAGACUCAGCACCUGGGAAGACACCUGUAUGAAAUAAGUAUGAGCUAAAAUUUGCCAGUGGAUAGAAAGAGUAUACAGUUAUAGUAUACUCUACAGUAUACUGCAUUAUACAGUACAUUUGAUCCACUGUAUAACAAUUUUAAUUUGAUGAUAUGGACCUAUAAAAAUGGCUUUGAUAUGCUAAUACAACCCCAGGUAGUAGGAGCAUUUACUGUUACUCAUUUUACUGUCUGAACAUGUCAUGCCAAAGUAGUAUAUCCACAAAGCAAGAAGCUGCUUGUUCCUUACCACAGCUACAAGCACACACACAGCCUGGGGUAAAGAGCUGUCAGAGCCGUAAGGCUUCUUCCUAGGCAGCGAUGGCUCAGUCAGUCAGCCUGAUUAAUGUAGUCUCUGCAUGUGGAGGCCCGGUGAUUGACAUUUUAACAGGGGUGCUAUGAAACAGGCCUCUGUUCUCAUCACCUCUGUUUUCCCUGCUAGGGCAGCUGGGUCAGGUGAUGUCAGCAUAG